rnacentral:lncRNA from 1 species
AUACUAAUUCUCUCAAAACUAAAGCAAAAUCAAAUUGUUUUCCGAUUUAAAUGCAACCAUUCUCUAGAGAUCAAUUGUAAAUCUUUUAGACCAAAUUUUGAUGGUAGUUAUACUGAUCUUUGCAACUGGAGAAAAAAUGACACGACUCCACCCAAUUUUCUUCGAGACGAAUACAAACUAUGGUCAAAUUUUAUCAUAAAGAUUUCUUGCUAGAUUGUUUGUUAUUUUAUCAUUAAGUAACAGGCUUACAUUUAAUAUUAGACUGGAGCAUCAGAUUACAGUUUCGAUCUCAGCGGGAAAGGAAUGUUAGGCAAACUUUGAAAUUAGAUCUAGAUGUUCUUGUCAAUAUUUCAACGCACUUUCUUCUCGUACCUAGAGUUUCAAUAAGGAACAGGCCGGGCUAGUCCGGUCCGGCUCACGUGAGCUUUAGCAAUUGACGGAUCUGAUCGGGGUAGUCUAUUAUUUUGAUGAGCCUUAUAAUGGUUAGUCCACCCCAGUCUUAUGGGGGCCGCGAGCCGCCACGGUCAGCCCAUCAUUUUUAAAAAUAUAAUUAUAUACUUUUC